CAGAGGUCCCAAGCGUUGUUCGGAUUCACUGGGCGUAAAGGGUGCGUAGGUGGUGAGGUAAGUUUGAUGUGAAAGCUCCGAGCUUAACUCGGAAAUGGCAUUGAAUACUACUUUGCUAGAGGGUUGGAGGGGAGACUGGAAUACUUGGUGUAGCAGUGAAAUGCGUAGAUAUCAAGUGGAACACCAGUGGCGAAGGCGAGUCUCUGGACAACUCCUGACACUGAGGCACGAAAGCUAGGGGAGCAAACAGGAUUAGAUACCCUGGUAGUCCUAGCCGUAAACGGUGCGUAUUUGCUGUAAAAGGAAUCGACCCCUUUUGUGGCGUAGCCAACGCGUUAAAUACGCCGCCUGGGAAGUACGGUCGCAAGAUUA
rnacentral:rRNA from 1 species